UACGGGGGGUGCGAGCGUUGUCCGGAAUCACUGGGCGUAAAGGGCGCGUAGGUGGCGUCGUAAGUCUGUGGUGAAAGCCCGGAGUUCAACUCCGGGUCUGCCGCGGAUACUGCGAGGCUUGAGUGCUGUAGAGGGGGGUAGAAUGCCGGGUGUAGCGGCGGAAUGCGUAGAGAUCCGGCAGAAGACCGGUGGCGAAGGCGGCCCCCUGGGCAGUAACUGACACUGAGGCGCGACAGCGUGGGGAGCAAACAGG
rnacentral:rRNA from 1 species